AGCAGUAGGGAAUCUCCNCAAUGGACGCAAGUCUGAUGGAGCAACGCCGCGUGAGUGAAGAAGGCUUUCGGGUCGUAAAACUCUGUUGUUGGAGAAGAAUGGUCGGCAGAGUAACUGUUGUCGGCGUGACGGUAUCCAACCAGAAAGCCACGGCUAACUACGUGCCAGCAGCCGCGGUAAUACGUAGGUGGCAAGCGUUAUCCGGAUUUAUUGGGCGUAAAGCGAGCGCAGGCGGUUUUUUAAGUCUGAUGUGAAAGCCCUCGGCUUAACCGAGGAAGCGCAUCGGAAACUGGGAAACUUGAGUGCAGAAGAGGACAGUGGAACUCCAUGUGUAGCGGUG
rnacentral:rRNA from 1 species